GAUGAACGCUGGCGGCGUGCCUAACACAUGCAAGUCGAGCGAUUUACUUCGGUAAAGAGCGGCGGACGGGUGAGUAACGCGUGGGUAACCUGCCCUGUACACACGGAUAACAUACCGAAAGGUAUGCUAAUACGAGAUAAUAUGCUUUUAUCGCAUGGUAGGAGUAUCAAAGCUUUUGCGGUACAGGAUGGACCCGCGUCUGAUUAGCUAGUUGGUAAGGUAACGGCUUACCAAGGCGACGAUCAGUAGCCGACCUGAGAGGGUGAUCGGCCACAUUGGAGCUGAGACACGGUCCAAACUCCUACGGGAGGCAGCAGUGGGGAAUAUUGCACAAUGGGCGAAAGCCUGAUGCAGCAACGCCGCGUGAGCGAUGAAGGCCUUCGGGUCGUAAAGCUCUGUCCUCAAGGAAGAUAAUGACGGUACCUGAGGAGGAAGCCCCGGCUAACUACGUGCCAGCCGCCCGGUAA
rnacentral:rRNA from 1 species